AUUGAACGCUGGCGGCAUGCCUUACACAUGCAAGUCGAACGGUAACAGGUUAAGCUGACGAGUGGCGAACGGGUGAGUAAUGUAUCGGAACGUGCCCAGUCGUGGGGGAUAACUGCUCGAAAGAGCAGCUAAUACCGCAUACGACCUGAGGGUGAAAGCGGGGGAUCGCAAGACCUCGCGCGAUUGGAGCGGCCGAUAUCAGAUUAGGUAGUUGGUGGGGUAAAGGCUCACCAAGCCGACGAUCUGUAGCUGGUCUGAGAGGACGACCAGCCACACUGGGACUGAGACACGGCCCAGACUCCUACGGGAGGCAGCAGUGGGGAAUUUUGGACAAUGGGCGCAAGCCUGAUCCAGCCAUGCCGCGUGCGGGAAGAAGGCCUUCGGGUUGUAAACCGCUUUUGUCAGGGAAGAAAAGGUUCUGGCUAAUACCUGGGACUCAUGACGGUACCUGAAGAAUAAGCACCGGCUAACUACGUG
rnacentral:rRNA from 1 species